GAUGAACGCUAGCUACAGGCUUAACACAUGCAAGUCGCAGGACUGGCGCUCGGGUGAGUAACGCGAAUCCAACCUUCCCAUAACUAAGGGAUAACCCGUUGAAAGACAGCCUAAUACCAUAUGGUUAUGGUUGGGGAUGCGUCUGAUUAGCUUUUUGGCGGGGUAACGUCCCACAAAGGCGACGAUCAGUAGGGGUUCUGAGAGGCAGGUCCCCCACAUUGGAACUGAGGCACGGACCAAACUCCGACGGGAGGCAGCAGUGAGGAAUAUUUGUCAAUGAGCGAGAGCCUGAACCAGCCAAGUAGCGUGCAGGAUGACGGCCUAUGGGUUGUAAACUGCUUUUAUGUGGGGAUAGGUACCACAUGAAUAAGGACCGGAUAAUUCCGUGCCAGCAGCCGCGGUAAUAC
rnacentral:rRNA from 1 species